GUAAUCCCUCUUUCAGGUUAGGCUGGCAAUAAAAUGACUACACGUAGUGUGAUCCUUAGGUAGAAAAGAAAAAGAGCUAUUUGCAUUUCUUUUCUUUUUAAAACAAGUGCCAUCUUUUCUUUUCCUGCUCUGGAGAGGUAGCAGCAGGGAGGAGACUGAGCAGGAUCCGGCUCGCGGUCGGGCCAGAUCCAGACAUCUACCUUUUUCCUGUGCGCCAGCCAAGAGAUUCAAGCCAAACCAAUAUGAAUUCACCAGUCAAAUGAUAAUUUUUCAACAAUAAUACUUAAAGCUGUAUUCCUAUCCAAGAUGAAAUGCCUGCUAUCUACUGAGGGCCACUAGUUAAAAGCUCUGCAGAGUAUCCCUGACUACCAUUCAAUAACUUUGACACCCUUCAACCUGAAGAAGCCAGAUCGGUCAUUGCCCAUUACCUCUCAUGGCAGUUUGGGUUACUCCUUCAGAGGGAGAAAUGUUACAGGCAGGUAAGUUAAAAAUGUUACAGGCAGGUAAGUUAAAAAUGUUACAGGCAGGUCAGUCAAAAAUAUUACAGGCAGUCAGACAGGGCUAGGGCCUCAGAGGAGCCAGCACAGAGGACCACAUGUCUUGUGACUUGGAGGAGACAGAUACUUACCACUGUGGGCCAGAUCCCAAGCAAAAGUCUAAACUUGGCCCUCAAACCCCACAGGGAGACCUUAAUAUGGCUUUUCAUGUUUUAAACAACAGAGAUAAAACUCAAAAGGAGGAAAAUAACAAAAUGAUCUUUUAGUAGUGGUACUUCAGGCUCUAAGACAGGUAAAGCCAAGGUAGAGCCACCCGAACCCCUCCUGGACCAUGCUUCAAGUGCGACAAAGAAGGAUACUGAACAAGAGAGUGCCCCAACCCCGGCGUUCCUCUGGGGCCUUGCCCCUAUUGCAAUCUCAAGGGCCAUUGGAAGAGCAACUGUCCUAGCUGCCAGAGAGCGGGUAAGCCAUCCUCUAACUCCUUGCCCUCACAAGAUAUCUCACCACCACUGGAUUCAUUGCUGACUGAUCUACUUGGACUUGCUGCUGAAGAUUUAUAGGGCUCAGCACAGCCCCCAUUAAGGUGUCCUUCUCAGAGCCCCAAGUCUCACUGGAGGUCUCAGGUAAGACACUCUCUACUUGUAGACAUGGAGGCCACACAUAGUGUUCUUCCUGAGUUUUCAGGCUGUUAUAUUAAAUCCUCAGUCUCUGAAAUGGGUAUUGACUGUCAACCUACACAGCCUUUUCAAACAGGGCCUAUUUCAUGCAGGUUCCAAACUGUCUUCUUCACCCAUAGCUUUUGGGCAGUGCCAACAUGUCCCACAUCCCUUUUAGGUAAAGGUCUCCUCCAAUAGCUUACUUCAUAGAUAAGGUUACACACAAAACACUCUGGGAUGGAUUUUCCAGGAAUCAAAACUUGUUCUUCCAAAUCAGCAGGCCUUAGACAUCAUCACUGACUUACACAACUGUUUCCACGUUGGAUCAUAGGCCCAGUAUAGACUCUUAGCCCCAGUAGUUACACAUCCUUUUCCGAGGGCUAUCAUUCUUCAGAUUACUCACACCUGUCAUCUCUGUGUUAGGACCUCUCCUCAGGGACACAUAGCACCCCUCCUUUCCUACUUGUGAAUUUUGUGGAUACACCCUGGUCAGGACUGACAGGUAGAAUUUAUACACAUGCCCCACCACAAAACUCUCAAAUAUCUUUUUAUCUUUAUCUAUACUUUUUCAGGAUGGAUAGAAGCUUUUCCUACAACCAGGGAGACUGCUGAUGUAGUUACUAAAGUCCUGUUACAAGAAAUCAUUCCAGGAUUUGAUCUACCUUAAAGUAUCCAGUCAGAUAAUGGUUCAGUCUUUAUUUCUCAAAUCACUCAGCAGGACUGCAACCAAAGUGGAGUCGCCCCUUCCUGGUCUUCUUCGGAACCUCAAGGGUAGUCAAGGUUGCUGGAUUGUCUUCCUCAUUCCACAUCACUCAAGCUAAGUGGUGCUCUCCUAACCCCAACUCCUCAUAUGAUAUGUCAUCAUAUCUCCUAUCUCCCGCCCAUCUCCAUCUCUCCAAGGGCCCACAACCACAACUUUCAGGUUAGCUCAUGUUUUGUCAUCCUAUUUGGUUCUGGAUCCCUUGCACUCUAAACAAGAGGUCCCGCUGGGUCUAGGACCUCCUCUCAAUUAUAGUGACACUAUCGCAGUCCUCCCCACCCCUACUCUAUAUUUUCCCAAACAUGAUUCAGCUGCCAGGCCUUAUAUUUCUCACGCUUCCCAUUCUACCCAGCUCAACCCCUAGGCCAAGAACAAGUCCUUUUACCCUUUCAGAUGGGGAAACAAUUGCCUCCUGUAACUUCACCCCUCCCAAUUCCAAGCUUAUUUUUCAGAUUCUUCCUUACCAUGAUCCUGAUGGAACAGCACAUUCAGAUCAAGGGCACCUUUCCUUCUCCUGAGUCCUUCAAUUAUGAUACUGACAUGAUUUCUUAUUGUACCUUUUCUUUGUAUUUCUACAAUCUAGGAUGUGAGCAUUCACCAACAAGAAACUCCUUGUCCUGGCUGAAACACCAGUACCAGCUUCUAUAUGGGCAUCAAUCGUCAUCCCAUCAACCCUCCUAAGCCCCAACAUGAUGCUCCUGUCCAGCAAGAAGUAUUUCAGAGCUGUCUCUACCAAAGACUAGCUUACCGUCUCUGCCUCAUGUCUGCUACUUAAGGAGUAGUUUCUACAAAGAGGCACACAUCAAGCAGUGGUCAACUUAACGCCAGCUGGAUUACAUCAGCAUGCAUUGAGAGAAGAUGCUCCACCUGAGGAGGGUUGCCAGGAUAAAUAGGUGGAGAAGAAGAGAGGUGUUGAGAGGGAUUGAGGCGUUAUGGAGGCAUUGUUGGUUCUCCUACGAGUUGCUGUCUGAGCUGUUGGUUCUGCUAGAGAAGCUUUGGUCUUCACAUUGAGCAUUGCUUCCUGGCUCCGGAGGGGAAGACAUGUGCUACCUGAUCUCCAGGAUGAACUCGUCACACUGCUUCCUGGCACGUACCCGACUGUGCUUGUUGUCGGAGGAGCUCGGGGCCUCUGUGUCGCUGAGGACAGCUGUGGUGCCUUUCAGGACACCCCCGCUCUUUGUUGUGCGUGUGACUUCUCGGCUCCAGUGUAGAACCCUCAUCCCACUAGCACAGCUCCUUCAUCCUGCUGGCAUAGACUUUCUGGCUUUCACCGCUGACCCUUGGGUCUUCCCAGCAUGAAUCCAUAAAAGAUACUGGUGUGAGUCCUUCUUGUGGGCUCUGGACUUCCAGUUGGACUUGUGGAGGCAUUGUCCUGAGCUCUGGGUUUUUAUCUGGACUCAUGUGGGACAUUGCCAUGCGGUUUAGACUCUUGACUAAUUAAUCUAUGUCAUUGGUGUUGCGGAUAGAUUUCCUGCAUUCUCCUGUGUUAACUUCUGGUGACCAUUAUAAAAAUAUUAUAAACUCCAUGUCCUGAUCUGAAUUGUUCUCUGUGUACAACCCCUGAUUACAACAGCCUCCAAACAGAAUCACAUCGUUUGCACAGGCUUAACUCCAAGACACUUAGGAAAAGCCAUCCCAGAGGCCAGAGAAAAGAAAGACUCAUCCUCCAAGGGAAAUGCUUCAAUCACAGUUCAUUAAAAAGUAAAACACACAGUGAGAAGAGAUGACGUAAGGUAAUUAACAUACUUUUGAUAAAUUAUCAGCAGAGUGGGAGGAUCAUACUUUAUGAAUAUGGAUCAUGCGAUGUUCAUAUUCCUGUUUCUUCCCACUCUGUAUCCGCAUUUCUUUCUGCCGCUGUGGCUGUGAGAAUCAGACUAGAUGUCUGAACAAAGGGGUCCAUGAGAGUGAGGGUAUAUGGAACCCAUACAGAGUUGUAUAUUGGAAAAAUGUGGGGACAAGUGUGCUGGCCUGGCCAGCAGCUGUAUCUCAGCCAUUAGCCUGAUGGAUAGCUCUGGGAUUCAUUUGCAUUUCUUGGAUACCAGACAAAUAGAGUUGGAAUUGUGUCAACAUCGAGCGGUUGACGUAACACCGUAUAAAUAGUGGGAUGCUUCAUGUAUCUCAUAUAUAUUUAGUGAACCAUGAAUAUUUGCUAUGCCUCAGUCCUUUCUUCUCUAUCUAGGUCAGAGCAUGCAUGCUCUACUUACAUUUUUGUAUUCCUAUCCUGCCCAUAUGCUAUUUGCUUCUAUAAUCAGUUUCAUUUAGCCUCCUUUUUAAAAAAUCUUAUAUUAUUGGUAAAAUUAAAAAUUCUUACAUUAUACUUCAAAUACAUGCUACAGAUAAUCUUAUGUAGACAAAAUUAUCAUCUCUUCUGUCUCUGUACUGAGGAUUAUAUUGAUCAGACUGACUUAUGUCCUCAGAUCCUUUGAAACAAUUUUGUUUUUGAGUUGAUUCAUAGAUGCUUUUGUUUGCAAAAAGAAAUGUUUAGCAGAAUUUUGUUUCUGUUUGCAAACAUCAGGGGAUGACCGUGACCAAAACCAUCUUUCCUGCACAGACAUGAAUGUAGCUAUCUUUUUUGGAAUUGUACGAUGAAUUAAAUUCAUGUAUUUGGGCACUUUUGUAUAUGUAUAUAUCUAAAAAUAAGAUGUGCUAUGAGCAUAAGUUUAAAGUUAAAUUUAUAGAGUUAAGACUAUGUAAGUUUAAUACAUAUGAGGAAAAUAAUAGGUAAUCCCUUUUAUACAAUGUAUGU